UACGUAGGGUGCGAGCGUUUGUCCGGAAUUAUUGGGCGUAAAGAGCUUGUAGGCGGUUUGUCGCGUCUGCCGUGAAAUUUCGAGGCUCAACCUCGAACUUGCGGUGGGUACGGGCAGACUAGAGUGUGGUAGGGGAGACUGGAAUUCCUGGUGUAGCGGUGAAAUGCGUAGAGAUCGGGAGGAACACCAGUGGCGAAGGCGGCUACCUGGACCAGCACUGACACUGAGGCACGAAAGCGUGGGGAGCGAACAGG
rnacentral:rRNA from 1 species